AAACCAUCAGACUGACCCACUGGCUAGGGACUACUACAGUAAACCAUCAGACUGACCCACUGGCUAGGUACUACUACGGUAAACCAUCAGACCGACCCGCUGGCUAGGGACUACUAUAGUAAACCAUCAGACUGACCCACUGGCUAGGGACUACUAUAGUAAACCAUCAGACUGACCCACUGGCUAGGUACUAUUACGGUAAACCAUCAGACCGACCCGCUGGCUAGGGACUACUAUAGUAAACCAUCAGACUGACCCACUGGCUAGGGACUACUAUAGUAAACCAUCAGACUGACCCACUGGCUAGGUACUACUACGGUAAACCAUCAGACCGACCCACUGGAUUGGGACUACUACAGUAAACCAUCAGACUGACCCACUGGCUAGGGACUACUACAGUAAACCAUCAGACUGACCCACUGGCUAGGAACUUCUACUGUAAACCAAGAGACUGACCCACUGGCUAGGGACUACUACUGUAAACCAAGAGACUGACCCACUGGCUAGGAACUACUAAAGUAAACCAUCAGACUGACCCACUGGCUUGGGUCUACUUUGGCAAACCAUCAGACUGACCCACUGGCUAGGGACUAUGGCAAACCAUCAGACUGACCCACUGGCUAGGGACUAUGGUAAACCAUCAGACUGACCCACUGGCUAGGGACUACUGCAGUAAACCAUCAGACUGACCCACUGGCUAGGGACUAUGGUAAACCAUCAGAUUGACCCACUGGCUAGGGACUACUACUGUAAACCAAGAGACUGACCCACUGCCUAGGGACUAUGGCAAACCAUCAGACUGACCCACUGGCUAGGGACUUCUACGUUAAACCAUCAGACUGACCCACUGGCUAGGGACUUCUACUUUAAAUCAUCAGACUGACCCACUGGCUAGGGACUACUACAGUAAACCAUAAGACUGACCCACUGGCUAGGGACUACUAUGGUAAACCAUCAGACUGACCCACUGGCUAGGGACUUCUACUUCAAACCAUCAGACUGACCCACUGGCUAGGGACUACUACUGUAAACCAUCAGACUGACCCACUGGCUAGGGACUUCUACUUUAAACCAUCAGACUGACCCACUGGCUAGGGACUAUGGCAAACCAUCAGACUGACCCACUGGCUAGGGACUACUACAGUAAACCAUCAGACUGACCCACUGGCUAGGGACUAUGGCAAAGCAUCAGACUGAGCCACUGGCAUUGGACUUCUACUUCUACUCUACCCAUAGGGCGAUGGACAAUUGGCUCAGCGUCUUUAGGGUUUGGCUAGGGUAGGCCGUCAUUGUAAAUAAGAAUUUGUUCUUAACUGACUUGCCUAGGUAAAUAAAGUUUACAUUUAAACAAUUUAAUAAAUACAAAUUCAUAUGGAUUGAUUGGAGACUGGCUUAGCUAGCAGUCAAGCUAGCUAGCUAAUUUUCGUCCGCAUGUCAAAUGUGAUGAUACGGAUUCUAAAACGACAAUAGUCCUUAGCUACACAUUACCAUUCAAAGAUUGGACACACCUACUCAUUCCAGGGUUUUUCUUUAUUUUUUACUUUUUUCUACAUUUUAUAAUAAUAGUGAAGACAUCAAAACUAUGAAACAACACAUAUGGAAUAAUGUUGUACCAAAAUCAAAACAUAGAGAUUCUUUAAAGUAGCCAUCCUUUGCCUUGAUGACAGCUUUGCACACUCUUGGCAUUCUUUCAAUCAGCUUCAUGAGGUAGUCACCUGGAAUGCAUUUCAAUUCAAUUGUGGAAUUUAUUUCCUUCUUAAUGUGUUGGAGCCAAUUAGUUGUGUUCUGACAUGUUAAGGGUGGUAUACAGAAGAUAGCCCUAUUUGGUAAAAGACCAAGUCCAUAUUAUGACAAGAACAGCUCAAAUAAGCAAAGAGAAAUGACAGUCCAUCAUUACUUUAAGAUACGAAGGUCAGUCAAUUAAAGUUUCUUCAAGUGCAGUUACAAAAACCAUCAAGCGCUAUGAUGAAACUGGCUCUCAUGAGGACCGCCACAGGAAAGGAAGACCCAGAGUUACCUCUGCUGCAGAGGAUAGGUUCAUUAGAGUUACCAGCCUCAGAAAUUGCAGCCCAAAUAAAUGUUUCACAUCGUUCAAGUAACAGACGCAUCUCAACAUCAACUGUUCAGAAGAGAUUGAGUGAAUCAGGCCGUCGUGGUCAAAUUGCUGCAAAGAAACCUCUACUAAAGGACACCAAUAAACACAAGCAAUGGACGUUAGACCAGUGGACAUUUUUUUGGUUCCAAUAUUUGUGUCUGUGAGACUCAGAGUAGGUGAACAGAUGAUCUCUGCAUGUGUGGGUCCCACUGUGAAACAUGGAGGAGGAGGUGUGAUGGUGUGGGUGUGCUUUGCCUGUGACACUGUUUGUGAUUUAUUUAGAAUUCAAGGCCCACUUAACCAGCAUGGAUUCCACAGCAUUCUGCAGCAAAACGCCAUCCCAUCUGGUUCGCGCUUAGUUGGCAUAUCAUUUGUUUUUCAACAAGACGAUGACCCAACACAUCUCCAGGCUAUUUAAGGGCUAUUUGGCCAAGGAGAGUGAUGGAGUUGCAUCAGAUGACCUGGCCUCGAAAAUCACCCGACCUCAACGCAAUUGAGAUGUUUUGGGAUGAGUUGGACUGCAGAGUGUUGGAAAAGCAUUCUAUGUGAAGCUGAUUGAGAGAAUGCCAAGAGUGUGUUAAGCUGUCAUCAAGGCAAAGGGUGGCUAUUUUGAAGAAUAUCAAAUAUAUAAUAUAUUUAGAUUUGUUUUACUUUUUUUGUUACUACAUGAUUCCAUAUGUGUUAUUUCAUAGUUUUGAUGUCUUCACUAUUAUUCUACAAUGUAGAAAAUAGUAACAAAUAAAGUAAAACUCUUGAAUGAGUAGGUGUGUCCAAACAUUUCACUGGUACUGUAUAGAAUUAGGUAAUUAUAACUUGCUGAUGUCAAAAUUAGCUACAGAUUUGUAACAUUUUCUAAUCUCAUGACAGUGUAUUGUAGCACAACUCCUUUUUUUAUCAAUCCCACUAAGGUUUGCGUGUUAUCGAACAGAUCAGUGCAGACAGCCGUAAUCUGACGUUAAGACAACGGAUAAUAGACCAGAUGAAUGGCUACUUAGAAACAGAACGCCAACUGUCUUCUGAUGUUCUAAAUAAGCACAUACUUUACCGCAGCUGGCAGUUACACUGAACAAGCCUUAAAAUAGUAGUGUGUGCUGUUAUUAUUAUUAUGCAUUAUUUAAUAAGGAUUACUUUGGUGUUUACACAUUAAUAAUCCCAAAUCUAACCAAUGACUGUAUUGCCAGUUAAUUAACACUCUUAACUGUAUUCCAAAUGGCACUCUAUUCCUUAUUUAGUGGACUCCUUUUGACCAGGGCCGUUAGCACUCUCUAUCUCACUCACUGAAGGAGGAUUGUUAUUAAAACACUAAUCAUGGCACCUGGAGACCCAAUGAUAAUGAUAUCCAUGUAUUCUUAUUGUUAUGGGGAUUAUAAUGAUAGGCCUCAUCCAUCUCUUUCACUGUGGCUAUAUGGGGAUACUUUCACUCCUCUGUUGGCUUUAAGGCAGCACCAUAACCUACACCUCUGAAAUAUGCAUCAUUUCUAUGGCUUGUUAUUCACAGUACAGUAUGUAGAAUGUAGCUUGUACAUAGCCUUUUACAGGAAUGCUUUUUGUAUUAUUUUUUUCUCCCUUAAUACUUCAUUAUUAUACAUUUUUACUAGUUUUUUGCUAAUUAUUUUAAACAAAUAUAUAUGAAUAUAUAGAUAUUAGUCGUUCCUUUUUUAUUUGAUUGGACACAUGCUAGUUGAAUGUUUGUUUUUAACCAUUGUUUAUUUGUUAUGAGACUAAGGUGUUGCCUGGGAAACAACUGAAGAACAACAACAUGUCAUAUGUCUUUACAUGACAUUACUUCACACGUCUAACUGUAUUGUGAUUUUGUUCAAAACAAGAGAGUAAGCUUUGAUUUAAAAAAAAUAUAUAUAUAUAUAAUUUCAAAGACCAGACUCUUGUUUAUGUUCCAGUACCGGUUCUAGCUGGUUCCAGAUUAUUUGAUUAGCACCUUGUGAAGUGUUCUCAAUGUCUGUGAUGUAAUUUAUUAAUGUUUUUAUACUUGUACAAUUCUUAAGAGUUUUGUUUUUGGAUAUUUUAUCAGUGUGUGAAUUAACCCCCCCCCCCUACUUAGUGAGUUAGUUCCACUACGUUGUUUAUGACAUCAGUAAGUUUUCGGACACUGUGUGGUCAUUACACUUAGUAUUGUUAAAAUAAUGUUUUUGUUUGUUUUUUCAUAUUAUUAUUUUCAUAUGGUUUCUAACAUCUCACUCUGUCCUCAUCAGUCAAGAUGUUACAUAUGUUAUUGUUAUUAUUAUUAUUGUUAUUAUUAAGAAGCUAUGUCCAAUAACCAUCAUGCCAUUGAUUUUAUUUUUCUAUAAAACAUGAUAAUUAUUCUGUUCAUUUUUCCAUAAGGUUAAUGUGCUGAUUGAUAGCAGUCUUUUAGUCUAUCCGAUGUAAAUGAUGUCACAAUACGACACUCAGAUCAAACUGUCUUUCAACGGAACUCGUUUUAUUUCUACAUGAAUACAGUAUCUUUGUUGUGUGUUUUUGUAUGUCCAACCUAUUAAAUGUAUACACUGUUGUCAAAUGACUACAACCUUUAUCCUUGUUGACUUUGCAAUACAAUAUUGUCUAAACCAGUA
ensembl:lncRNA